rnacentral:rRNA from 1 species
GAUGAACGCUGGCGGCGUGCCUAAUACAUGCAAGUCGAGCGAACGGACGAGAAGCUUGCUUCUCUGAUGUUAGCGGCGGACGGGUGAGUAACACGUGGAUAACCUACCUAUAAGACUGGGAUAACUUCGGGAAACCGGAGCUAAUACCGGAUAAUAUUUUGAACCGCAUGGUUCAAAAGUAAAAGACGGUCUUGCUGUCACUUAUAGAUGGAUCCGCGCUGCAUUAGCUAGUUGGUAAGGUAACGGCUUACCAAGGCAACGAUGCAUAACCGACCUGAGAGGGUGAUCGGCCACACUGGAACUGAGACACGGUCCAGACUCCUACGGGAGGCAGCAGUAGGGAAUCUUCCGCAAUGGGCGAAAGCCUGACGGAGCAACGCCGCGUGAGUGAUGAAGGUCUUCGGAUCGUAAAACUCUGUUAUUAGGGAAGAACAUAUGUGUAAGUAACUGUGCACAUCUUGACGGUACCUAAUCAGAAAGCCACGGCUAACUACGUG